CAGGAAUUUCCACAUGCUGUGGGUACAGCCAAAAAGGAAAAAAAAAAAAAAAAAAAAAUUGGGCAACCCUAUAUAGUUCCCUGGGAAUAGGAUAAGCAUAGCCCACAGGUCUCUGCCACCCAAGAAUUUUUAACCUGGUCUUCUGAAGGGAAUUGAAUAGUGGGAACUCAUUUACUGAGCACCUGCUAUAUAUAACUUCAAAGUUCUUCAGGAUUACACUAUAUUUAUACAUACAGAUAUUCAUAGCUUUGCCUCAAUUCCAAGAAAAACUAAAUUACAUUCUGUUCUCUGUUUCAGAAGACAGCAGGGAUAUACAAUCCAUUAUGAGAACCUUAGGAACUCUUUUACUGAUGAACAGUUUCGGUCCCCAAACUCCACUGUUCACUGGUCCCCGUAUUCAUAAGUCCAGGUUCUGCUGUGACACACUGCGACAUCAAGGGGCCAGCCGACACAGAAAUUACUUUGUACGAUCUUCAGUGCCAUCUGCUGGAAGCAGACAAAGUUGAUCUACUGUUACUCCAUAAGGCAGGUUCAUUUUAUUUUCAAUUUUUAUUUAUUUUCCUUUUUAUGGGUCACACCCUAGGCAUAUGGAAGUUCCAAGGUCACGGGUCUAAUUGGAGCUGUAGCCUCUGGCCUACAUCACGGCCACAGCUACGCGGGAUCUGAGCCUCGUCUGCGACCUACACCACGGCUCAUGGCAACACCGGAUCCCUGACCCACUGAGUGAGGCCAGGGAUCAAACCUGCACCCUCAUGGAUACUAGUUGGAUUCCUUUCUGCUGAGACACGAUGGGAACUCACUGGAACCAGUAUCCUUAAGGACACUAACCCUUAAUAGCCUAGAAUAUGACUAUAUUUGAAGACAGAACCUUUAAAGUGGUAAUUAAGGCAAAAUGAAGUCAAAUGGUUGGGCCCUAAUCCACUAUGUCCUUUCUGUGGGGUCCUUCCUUUCCUCUGUAUUAUAUUCAAGUAUUGAAAUCAAAUAAAUUUAUUUUCUUGGUUCA
rnacentral:lncRNA from 1 species